GCGGAUAUGGCGGAAUUGGCAGACGCGCCAGACUUAGGAUCUGGUGUCAUCGACGUGGGGGUUCAAGUCCCUUUAUCCGCA
rnacentral:tRNA from 1 species